AUUGAACGCUGGCGGCAGGCCUAACACAUGCAAGUCGAGCGGAUGAAGGGAGCUUGCUCCUGGAUUCAGCGGCGGACGGGUGAGUAAUGCCUAGGAAUCUGCCUUGUAUUUGGGGAUAACGUCCGUAAACGGGCGCUAAUACCGCAUACGUCCUGAGUGUGAAAGUGGGGGAUCUUCGGACCUCACGCUAUCAGAUGAGCCUAGGUCGGAUUAGCUAGUUGGUGGGGUAAAGGCCUACCAAGGCGACGAUCCGUAACUGGUCUGAGAGGAUGAUCAGUCACACUGGAACUGAGACACGGUCCAGACUCCUACGGGAGGCAGCAGUGGGGAAUCUUGGACAAUGGGCGAAAGCCUGAUCCAGCAAUGCCGCGUGUGUGAAGAAGGUCUUCGGAUUGUAAAGCACUUUAAGUUGGGAGGAAGGGCAGUAAGUUAAUACCUUGCUGUUUUGACGUUACCAACAGAAUAAGCACCGGCUAACUUCGUG
rnacentral:rRNA from 1 species